rnacentral:rRNA from 1 species
AUACGGAGGGUGCAAGCGUUGUUCGGAAUUACUGGGCGUAAAGAGAGUGUAGGUUGUUUAUUAAGUCGGAUGUGAAAUCCCGGGGCUCAACCUCGGAACUGCAUUCGAUACUGGUAGACUAGAGUUCGGGAGGGGUAAGCGGAAUUCCGUGUGUAGCAGUGAAAUGCGUAGAUAUACGGAGGAACACCUGAGGCGAAGGCGGCUUACUGGACCGAUACUGACACUGAGACUCGAAAGCGUGGGUAGCAAACAGGAUUAGAAACCCUUGUAGUCC